rnacentral:rRNA from 1 species
UCGCACCUACCGAUUGAGUGGUCCGGUGAAUCUUUCGGACUGCGCGCGGCUCUGUGCCGGGUCGCGGAAAGUCAGGUAAAUCUUAACACUUAGAGGAAGGAG